GGAAAGGCCGUCACUCAACGGAUAAAAGUUACUCUAAGGAUAACAGGCUGAUCUCCCCCAAGAGCUCACAUCGACGGGGGGGUUUGGCACCUCGAUGUCGGCUCGUCACAUCCUGGGGCUGGAGACGGUCCCAAGGGUUGGGCUGUUCGCCCAUUAAAGUGGUACGCGAGCUGGGUUCAGAACGUCGCGAGACAGUUUGGUCCCUAUCUGCCGUGGGCGUUGGAAAUUUGAAGGGGGCUGCUCCUAGUACGAGAGGACCGGAGUGGACGAACCGCUAGUGUACCUGUUGUGUGGUCGCAUGCAUCGCAGGGUAGCUAUGUUCGGAAGUGAUAAGCCGCUGAACGCAUCUAAGCGCGAAGCACGCUCCAAGAUAAGUAUUCCCUAUGAGCCUCCUGGAAGACGACCAGGUUGAUAGGCGGCAGGUGUACGCAUGGUAACAUGUUUAGCCGAGCCGUACUAAUUAGGCCAUUGGCUUUG
rnacentral:rRNA from 1 species